GGCUUAACACAUGCAAGUCGAGCGGAAACGAUGAUAGCUUGCUAUCAGGCGUCGAGCGGCGGACGGGUGAGUAAUACUUAGGAAUCUACCUAGUAGUGGGGGAUAGCUCGGGGAAACUCGAAUUAAUACCGCAUACGUCCUACGGGAGAAAGCAGGGGAUCUUUGGACCUUGCGCUAUUAGAUGAGCCUAAGUCGGAUUAGCUAGAUGGUGGGGUAAAGGCCUACCAUGGCGACGAUCUGUAGCUGGUCUGAGAGGAUGAUCAGCCACACCGGGACUGAGACACGGCCCGGACUCCUACGGGAGGCAGCAGUGGGGAAUAUUGGACAAUGGGGGGAACCCUGAUCCAGCCAUGCCGCGUGUGUGAAGAAGGCCUUUUGGUUGUAAAGCACUUUAAGCAGUGAAGAAGACUCUUCGGUUAAUACCCGGGGACGAUGACAUUAGCUGCAGAAUAAGCACCGGCUAACUCUGUGCCAGCAGCCGCGGUAAUACAGAGGGUGCAAGCGUUAAUCGGAAUUACUGGGCGUAAAGCGAGCGUAGGUGGCUUGAUAAGUCAGAUGUGAAAUCCCCGGGCUUAACCUGGGAACUGCAUCUGAAACUGUUAGGCUAGAGUAGGUGAGAGGGAAGUAGAAUUUCAGGUGUAGCGGUGAAAUGCGUAGAGAUCUGAAGGAAUACCGAUGGCGAAGGCAGCUUCCUGGCAUCAUACUGACACUGAGGCUCGAAAGCGUGGGUAGCAAACAGGAUUAGAUACCCUGGUAGUCCACGCCGUAAACGAUGUCUACUAGUCGUUGGGUCCCUUGAGGACUUAGUGACGCAGCUAACGCAAUAAGUAGACCGCCUGGGGAGUACGGCCGCAAGGUUAAAACUCA
rnacentral:rRNA from 1 species